GAACCAGACUCCUACGGGAGGCAGCAGUGAGGAAUAUUGGUCAAUGGGCUUACGCCUGAACCAGCCAAGUCGCGUGAGGGAAGACUGCCCUAUGGGUUGUAAACCUCUUUUGUCAGGGAGCAACGCCGGCUACGUGUAGCCGGACUGAGAGUACCUGAAGAAAAAGCAUCGGCUAACUCCGUGCCAGCAGCCGCGGUAAUACGGAGGAUGCGAGCGUUAUCCGGAUUUAUUGGGUUUAAAGGGUGCGUAGGCGGAUUUUUAAGUCAGCGGUAAAAUGUCCGGGCUCAACCCGGGCCGGCCGUUGAAACUGGGGAUCUAGAGUGUGCGAGAGGUAUGCGGAAUGCGUGGUGUAGCGGUGAAAUGCAUAGAUAUCACGCAGAACCCCGAUUGCGAAGGCAGCAUACCGGUGCACAACUGACGCUCAGGCACGAAAGCGUGGGUAUCGAACAGGAUUAGAUACCCUCGUAC
rnacentral:rRNA from 1 species